CGGCGCGUCCAGCCCUUUACCUCCAGGCUGUGCAAAGCCAGGAGGGCGAGGGAGCGGGGAGAGGAGGAACGAGUCUGGCAGAUAAGGUGUCAUCUGGUCUGAAUUAUUCUGGAAGACAGGAGAGGUGUGGCUUUUCCCAUCUCCCGUGGCCAGCUAAUACACAGUGACUACUGAUGAUGAAUAUAUAAAAGAGAAGUGCCAACUGAAAUGGAAAAUAG